GACGAACGCUGGCGGCGUGCUUAACACAUGCAAGUCGAACGGAAAGGCCCUGCUUUUGUGGGGUGCUCGAGUGGCGAACGGGUGAGUAACACGUGAGUAACCUGCCCUUGACUUUGGGAUAACUUCAGGAAACUGGGGCUAAUACCGGAUAGGAGCUCCUGCUGCAUGGUGGGGGUGGGAAAGUUUCGGCGGUUGGGGAUGGACUCGCGGCUUAUCAGCUGGUUGGUGGGGUAGUGGCUUACCAAGGCUUUGACGGGUAGCCGGCCUGAGAGGGUGACCGGCCACAUUGGGACUGAGAUACGGCCCAGACUCCUACGGGAGGCAGCAGUGGGGAAUAUUGCACAAUGGGCGGAAGCCUGAUGCAGCAACGCCGCGUGCGGGAUGACGGCCUUCGGGUUGUAAACCGCUUUCGCCUGUGACGAAGCGUGAGUGACGGUAAUGGGUAAAGAAGCACCGGCUAACUACGUG
rnacentral:rRNA from 1 species